rnacentral:rRNA from 1 species
UACGAGGGUGGCAAGCGUUGUUCGGAAUUACUGGGCGUAAAGGGCGCGUAGGCGGCUUGGCAAGUCAGAUGUGAAAUCCCCGAGCUUAACUUGGGAAUUGCAUCUGAAACUGCUUAGCUUGAGUCCUGGAUGGGGUAGUGGAAUUCCCAGUGUAGCAGUGAAAUGCGUAGAUAUUGGGAGGAACACCGGUGGCGAAGGCGGCUACCUGGACAGUGACUGACGCUGAGGCGCGAAAGCUAGGGGAG